rnacentral:rRNA from 1 species
CCUACGGGGGGCAGCAGUGGGGAAUAUUGGACAAUGGGCGAAAGCCUGAUCCAGCCAUGCCGCGUGUGUGAAGAAGGCCUUCGGGUUGUAAAGCACUUUCAGUGGGGAAGAAAGCCUUGGGGCUAAUACCCUCGAGGAAGGACAUCACCCACAGAAGAAGCACCGGCUAACUCCGUGCCAGCAGCCGCGGUAAUACGGAGGGUGCGAGCGUUAAUCGGAAUUACUGGGUGUAAAGCGCGCGUAGGCGGUCUGAUAAGCCGGUUGUGAAAGCCCCGGGCUCAACCUGGGAACGGCAUCCGGAACUGUCAGGCUAGAGUGCAGGAGAGGAAGGUAGAAUUCCCGGUGUAGCGGUGAAAUGCGUAGAGAUCGGGAGGAAUACCAGUGGCGAAGGCGGCCUUCUGGACUGACACUGACGCUGAGGUGCGAAAGCGUGGGUAGCAAACAGGAUUAGAUACCCCGGUAGU